AGAUUGAACGCUGGCGGCAGGCCUAACACAUGCAAGUCGAGCGGCAGCACGGGUACUUGUACCUGGUGGCGAGCGGCGGACGGGUGAGUAAUGCCUAGGAAUCUGCCUGGUAGUGGGGGAUAACGUUCGGAAACGGACGCUAAUACCGCAUACGUCCUACGGGAGAAAGCGGGGGACCUUCGGGCCUCGCGCCAUUAGAUGAGCCUAGGUCGGAUUAGCUAGUUGGUGAGGUAAUGGCUCACCAAGGCGACGAUCCGUAACUGGUCUGAGAGGAUGAUCAGUCACACUGGAACUGAGACACGGUCCAGACUCCUACGGGAGGCAGCAGUGGGGAAUAUUGGACAAUGGGCGAAAGCCUGAUCCAGCCAUGCCGCGUGUGUGAAGAAGGUCUUCGGAUUGUAAAGCAACUUUAAGUUGGAGGAAGGUUGUAACUUAAUACGUUAGCAACUUUGAACGUUUACCGACAGAAUAAGCAACCGGCUAACUUCGUAGCCAGCCAGCCGA
rnacentral:rRNA from 1 species